UACGUNCCAGCAGCCGCGGUAAUACGUAGNUCCCGAGCGUUGUCCGGAUUUAUUGGGCGUAAAGGGAGCGCAGGCGGUCAGGAAANUCUGGAGUAAAAGGCUAUGGCUCAACCAUAGUGUGCUCUGGAAACUGUCUGACUUGAGUGCAGAAGGGGAGAGUGGAAUUCCAUGUGUAGCGGUGAAAUGCGUAGAUAUAUGGAGGAACACCAGUGGCGAAAGCGGCUCUCUGGUCUGUCACUGACGCUGAGGCUCGAAAGCGUGGGUAGCGAACAGGAUUAGAUACCCUGGUAGUCCACGCCGUAAACGAUGAGUGCUAGGUGUUAGGCCCUUUCCGGGGCUUAGUGCCGGAGCUAACGCAAUAAGCACUCCGCCUGGGGAGUACGACCGCAAGGUUGAAACUCAAAGGAAUUGACGGGGGCCCGCACAAGCGGUGGAGCAUGUGGUUUAAUUCGAAGCAACGCGAAGAACCUUACCAGGUCUUGACAUCCCGAUGCUAUUCUUAGAGAUAGGAAGUUACUUCGGUACAUCGGAGACAGGUGGUGCAUGGUUGUCGUCAGCUCGUGUCGUGAGAUGUUGGGCUAAGUCCCGCAACGAGCGCAACCCUUAUUGUUAGUUGCCAUCAUUAAGUUGGGCACUCUAGCGAGACUGCCGGUAAUAAACCGGAGGAAGGUGGGGAUGACGUCAAAUCAUCAUGCCCCUUAUGACCUGGGCUACACACGUGCUACAAUGGUCGGUACAACGAGUUGCGAGCCGGUGACGGCAAGCUAAUCUCUGAAAGCCGAUCUCAGUUCGGAUUGGAGGCUGCAACUCGCCUCCAUGAAGUCGGAAUCGCUAGUAAUCGCGGAUCAGCACGCCGCGGUGAAUACGUUCCCGGGCCUUGUACACACCGCCCGUCACACCACGAGAGUUUGUAACACCCGAAGUCGGUGAGGUANCCUUUUAGGG
rnacentral:rRNA from 1 species